rnacentral:lncRNA from 1 species
AGGUAGGGUGUUACACACCUCAUCGAUCUGAUUAAAGAAUCUUAAGAGAUUUUUUCAAUCUACUUCUCUGCUUUAUUUUUGAAUUCUUUGAACUUUUUAAAGGCUUCAGACUUAUGCCUUAUGACGUAUACAUACCCAUACUAUGAAAAAUUAUUGAUAAAGAUUAUAAAGUAGUAAUAACCUCCUCUGACUGGCAUAUCAAAUGGGCCA